ensembl:lncRNA
UGGCUGUACCUCUUCACUAGGUGCUCAAUUACUGGUUUAGGCUGUGACUUAACAGUUCCCACACAGUGACCUUAAAGUCCAUCCAGUUCUCAUCCCUUGCUGUGGACAGGGUUGCUCUCCACCAGAUCAGACUGCUCAGGGUCCCAUCCAGCCUGGACUUGAAUGCUUCCAGAGAUGGGACAUCCACAGCUUCUCUAGGUAGCCUGUGCGAAGGGCUCACCAUUCUCUUAGGAAAGAAUUUCUCCUUAGUAUCAGACCUAAAUCUCCCCCUUUUCCUAUCACUGCCUGCCUAUCUCUCUUUUCAUCUUUUUUAUUAGCCCCCUAGAAGUCCUGUGAGGUCUUCUUGGAGCAUUCUCUUCUUUCUUUUCUCUUGGCUGAACAGCUUCAGCUCUCUUGGUCAUUCUUCAUAGGAAAUAAAUAUGCUAUGUUUCCUAUUUAGAGAUUAUUAAAUAAAAUACUAAAUUCUGUUAGUUAGCUCAACAACCCAACAAGGUCAUAGUUUCAGAUAGGUCAGAAUUCAAUAUGGGAUAAGCAUUUGUUUGUUUUCUCAAGGCAUCAGUAAUAAUGGUUUUUAGUAUUGCAAGGCCUGAUUUCCUACUGGCACUUAUAUCACCACAAAAUGAACUUAACAUACUGUCAAAUUGAAACUGAACUGGUGAUCCUAACAGUGACAUUUCAAUACUGGUGUAAACAGUUAUAUAAGAACUUGGCAAAGGAUUUGGCGUUGAAGUUCAGAACCUCAUAAGCCUCAAAUCAGGGCUUUCCAGAGUCAACUUUUAGUUAAGGAGGAGAAAAAUAAUCAUUUUCCCUGAAAGGCCUUAGCCUAGGCAAUAUUCACUCAAACCAUAGCAGUUCUGUCACCUGAUGGAGCACGUGCAGUGAAUUUUUCCCCUUUCCUGAUGGCCAAAUGUGGGUCUGCUGUGUUUUUGGCUGUCGUGAGUUGCAAAAAAAUAAUAGGCAGUUGACUGAUGACAGUUAUGAAGUAUUGACUGCAGAAUGGUUUAAUCUCUAAAUGCAACCUCUCCAGAACUGUUGUUUUUGGAAAUGAUUUUUAGUGCAACAGAUGACUAGGGUAGAUAAGAGCCUUUUUAUGCAAAGGUCUCCUUUAUUACACACAUCUUAAAUAUUUGUACUCAAAUAUUACAUCUGAUGCCAAGUCUUCUAUGAUUCUUUGUUGCUGCUGUUCAAGAGAAAUAUUUCUCUAACUGAAAUCAAGUGGAAGCAGACAUGAUAUCUGUUGUUUACUUGAAAGAAGAAGAAGAUUGCCUCUGAAAUGAGCCAAUUAAUUUCUAGCUCUAUAGGAAAGUUCUCAGUUGUUUUUUUUUAUUAUUAUUUUUUCAUCUCUGAAAGGUACACACAGUACAUAGAAGCCAAUAUUAUCUUAUAGAAGACUGUCGUAUCUUUCAGGAACAAAAGACAGAAUACUUUAUAAAUGGAAUGGUUUUCAUCAUCAUAGAAGGACAAGUCAACAGUGCAGAGUGAAGACCAUACCUACAGGAAGCCAUUUUAGAGAAAAUGUGCAGAAAAAUUGACAAUUCAUGAGUCCGACAGCAGGCAAUGAAUGAUGUGCAGAAGAAUCUAACAUCAAGUUUUUUGGAUAUGCGUGGUCAGGACAGAACUUGGCUACAGUGUGGGCCUCGUUUCUAGUAUUUACGAAUCUGAAAUAUAUAUUGUCUUAUACAUACUGAACAUGUUAAUAUAUUAAAUAUGUAGAGG